CACGUAGGCGGACUGGAAAGUUGGGGUGAAAUCCCGGGGCUCAACCCCGGAACUGCCUUCAAAACUUCCAAUCUAGAGUUCGAGAGAGGUGAGUGGAAUUCCAAGUGUAGAGGUGAAAUUCGUAGAUAUUUGGAGGAACACCAGUGGCGAAGGCGGCUCACUGGCUCGAUACUGACGCUGAGGUGCGAAAGCGUGGGGAGCAAAACA
rnacentral:rRNA from 1 species